rnacentral:rRNA from 1 species
AGUGAACGCUGGCGGUAGGCCUAACACAUGCAAGUCGAACGGCAGCACAGUAAGAGCUUGCUCUUACGGGUGGCGAGUGGCGGACGGGUGAGGAAUACAUCGGAAUCUACUUUUUCGUGGGGGAUAACGUAGGGAAACUUACGCUAAUACCGCAUACGACCUACGGGUGAAAGCAGGGGAUCUUCGGACCUUGCGCGAUUGAAUGAGCCGAUGUCGGAUUAGCUAGUUGGCGGGGUAAAGGCCCACCAAGGCGACGAUCCGUAGCUGGUCUGAGAGGGUGAUCAGCCACACUGGAACUGAGACACGGUCCAGACCCCUACGGGAGGCAGCAGUGGGGAAUAUUGGACAAUGGGCGCAAGCCUGAUCCAGCCAUACCGCGUGGGUGAAGAAGGCCUUCGGGUUGUAAAGCCCUUUUGUUGGGAAAGAAAAGCAGCAGGUUAAUACCCCGCUGUUCUGACGGUACCCAAAGAAUAAGCACCGGCUAACUUCGUG